rnacentral:rRNA from 1 species
GGGUCAGUAGGUUGGUCGUGCCACCGGUACGUACUGGUCUCACUGAUUCGUCCUUCCUGAAGAACCGUAAUGCCAUUAAUUUGGUGUUGCGGGGAAACAGGACUGUUACUUUGAAAAAAUUAGAGUGUUUAAAGCAAGCUAACGCUUGAAUACAUUGGCAUGGAAUAAUGAAAUAGGACGAUCGAUCCUAUUUUGUUGGUUUCUAGGAUUGACGUA